rnacentral:rRNA from 1 species
AUUGAACGCUGGCGGCAGGCCUAACACAUGCAAGUCGAGCGGCAGCGGGAAAGUAGCUUGCUACUUUUGCCGGCGAGCGGCGGACGGGUGAGUAAUGCCUGGGAAAUUGCCCAGUCGAGGGGGAUAACAGUUGGAAACGACUGCUAAUACCGCAUACGCACUACGGGGGAAAGCAGGGGACCUUCGGGACUUGCGCGAUUGGAUAUGCCCAGGUGGGUGUAGCUAGUUGGUGAGGUAAUGGCUCACCAAGGCGACGAUCCCUAGCUGGUCUGAGAGGAUGAUCAGCCACACUGGAACUGAGACACGGUCCAGACUCCUACGGGAGGCAGCAGUGGGGAAUAUUGCACAAUGGGGGAAACCCUGAUGCAGCCAUGCCGCGUGUGUGAAGUAGGCCUUCGGGUUGUAAAGCACUUUCAGCGAGGAGGAAAGGUUGAUGCCUAAUACGUAUCAACUGUGACGUUACUCGCAGAAGAAGCACCGGCUAACUCCGUGCCAGCAGCCGCCGUAAGAC